rnacentral:tRNA from 1 species
GAAGGUAUAGCUCAGUGUUAGAGUACAUGCUUAGCAUGCACAAGGUCCUGGGUUCAAUCCCCAGUAACUAUA